rnacentral:rRNA from 1 species
UACGUAGGGACCGAGCGUUUGUCCGGAAUCAUUGGGCGUAAAGAGCGUGUAGGCGGCUAUUUAAGUCCUGCGUGAAAUCCUGCGGCUCAACCGCAGACGGUCGUGGGAAACUGGAUGGCUAGAGUGCGGGAGAGGAGAGUGGAAUUCCCGGUGUAGCGGUGAAAUGCGCAGAUAUCGGGAAGAACACCCGUGGCGAAGGCGGCUCUCUGGAACGCAACUGACGCUGAGACGCGAAAGCGUGGGGAGCAAACAGG